UACGGGGGGGGCAAGCGUUGUUCGGAAUUACUGGGCGUAAAGGGCUCGUAGGCUGCCAACUAAGUCAGACGUGAAAUCCCUCGGCUUAACCGGGGAACUGCGUCUGAUACUGGAUGGCUUGAGAUCGGGAGAGGGAUGCGGAAUUCCAGGUGUAGCGGUGAAAUGCGUAGAUAUCUGGAGGAACACCGGUGGCGAAGGCGGCAUCCUGGACCAUUACUGACACUGAAUAGCGAAAGCCAGGGGAGCAAACGGG
rnacentral:rRNA from 1 species